GAACUGCGAUAAGUAAUGUGAAUUGCAGAAUUCAGUGAAUCAUCGAGUCUUUGAACGCACAUUGCGCCCCCUGGCAUUCCGGGGGGCAUGCCUGUCCGAGCGUCAUUGCUGCCCUUCAAGCCCGGCGUGUGUGUUGGGUCGUCGUCCCCUCCGGGGGACGGGCCCGAAAGGCAGCGGCGGCACCGCGUCCGGUCCUCGAGCGUAUGGGGCUUUGUCACCCGCUCGAUAAGGACCGGCCGGGCGCCAGCCGGCGUCUCCAACCUUUUUUUCUCAGGUUGACCUCGGAUCAGGUAGGGAUACCCGCUGAACUUAAGC
rnacentral:misc_RNA from 1 species